GCCAGAGCCAUAUCACCCUGCAGCUCUCGCUUGGUUUCCCACUAAAGCUAAGCAGGGUUGAGCCUGGCCAGUAACUGGAGAGAAGACCUUCUGGGGGAAACUAAGUUUGCUGCUGGAA
rnacentral:rRNA from 1 species